rnacentral:tRNA from 1 species
GCGGAUGUGGCUCAGUGGAAGAGCACUUGCCUAACAUGUACGAGGCUCUGGGUUUGAUCCCAGCACCGCC